UCCUUACAAUCGAGCGGCGGACGGGUGAGUAACACGUGGGCAACCUACCCUUUAGACUGGGAUAACUACCGGAAACGGUAGCUAAUACCGGAUAAGUUGGAUUACACAAGUAAUCUUAAUGAAAGGCGGAUUUAUCUGUCACUAAAGGAUGGGCCUGCGGUGCAUUAGCUAGUUGGUGAGGUAGUGGCUCACCAAGGCAACGAUGCAUAGCCGACCUGAGAGGGUGAUCGGCCACACUGGGACUGAGACACGGCCCAGACUCCUACGGGAGGCAGCAGUAGGGAAUCUUCCGCAAUGGACGCAAGUCUGACGGAGCAACGCCGCGUGAGUGAAGAAGGGUUUCGGCUCGUAAAACUCUGUUGUUAAGGAAGAACACUUUAGGUAGUAACUGGCCUAGAGAUGACGGUACUUAACCAGAAAGCCACGGCUAACUACGUGCCAGCAGCCGCGGUAAUACGUAGGUGGCAAGCGUUAUCCGGAAUUAUUGGGCGUAAAGCGCGCGUAGGCGGUAGAAUAAGUCUGAUGUGAAAGCCCCCGGCUCAACCGGGGAGGGUCAUUGGAAACUGUUUUACUUGAGUGCAGAAGAGGAGAGUGGAAUUCCAUGUGUAGCGGUGAAAUGCGCAGAGAUAUGGAGGAACACCAGUGGCGAAGGCGGCUCUCUGGUCUGUAACUGACGCUGA
rnacentral:rRNA from 1 species